UAGCCAAAGGUAAUGAUUACAUGGUAUAUAACAGGUCAAACUAAAUCUGGAAUCAGUCAUCAACAUGUUAUUAGAACAUGUUAGCGUGCUAAGUAGCUAGUUAGCUUAAUUUUUUCCCUAAGUGCUUUUGGCUUAUUCUAUCAGUUUUGUUUGUUUUUCAUAAAGUACAAAUUUUAUAUUACUGUUUUUAAUCAAAAUUGAGUGUUUUUUUCCCCGUAGCUGCGAUUCGACUAAAACGAGUCAAACUGAAACACUGAGAAUGUCCUCUGUAUUUGACCUUUUAAAGCACAGUGCAGAGGAAUAUUUUGUAGCUACAGGAAGUGUUCAAGGUCUUUGAGGUUUAAAUUCAAAGCUCAGGUUUUAAUUUAAUUUGCAUUGUUCUGAAAAGGAGGCGGAGGUUUCAUUCGGACUCUGAUGUCGAAACAGUUGAAAGAACGAUGAAGAACAAAGACUCCUCUUCGCUGACGGUUUCUUCUGUCAGCCUUUGGUAGAUUUUUUUUUUUUUUCUUUUCUGUAUGUUGCACUUGAUAAAUCCUAACUCUUAUACACUGAUAACUAUUAUCACUAUGAUUAACUUGGCUGAAGUAAUUAUUAUGUCCGACAACACUGACGAUCUGUUUAAUGAUGAGUGUGAUGCAGUUAACACUAUAGCCUGAUUUACUGUCAAAUAAAACUGAAUAAACAAAUACUGGCGUCUAAGAGUUAUGAUAUGAAUAAUGCUGC